UUUUUUUUUUUCUAAAACUUUGAUAAAAGUAUUAAUUUAUCAUUUUUUUUUAUUUGUAAAGGUUCGCUUGUUAACGUUCUUGAAUUGCACGCCUCAACUUCCAUGAAUUUAAGUAAAAAAAUAAAUCAAAGGAGAAAUGACAUGGUUAAAUAACCUUGAAAUUUGUGUUUCAAAUCUCUCUUAUUUACUUGGGUAAAAAAAGGUGGGUAAGAAGUUGUAGAAGAAGUGAGCAGUGAGCAGGUUUUAAAGCAUUUGUUUCCAGGAAAGUAAACCAAUUCCUUGAGUGAAACAGAGGGAAACGGAAAUCAGAAAACGACAAGUCGUCUCAACUUUAUUUUUCCCCCUUAGUGCCGUUGGCGUUACUGAUGAUACUGACACCACUCAUCUCAACCUCAGACCCUUCAAUGCAAUCCCCAAGUUGAAAAAAAUGAUGAAAGGGGUGGGCAUGAAAAUGUCAAGGCUGUGCUUGUGGAGAUGGCAAUUCAUGAGACUGGGGAACAGAAUCGCAAAUUCAUACGUGGAGGAUCAAAGGGAGCCCCCCAUGAGCUGCUCCUCUGCAUCAUCAUCUGCCUUGAGGAACCUGGUCUUGAAGUUCAAAUCCCACUGGAAGCACAUCUUCAGAUCCCAAAACAGACCACUUCACUACACUUACGAUCUCCACAGCUACUCUCUCAACUUUGAUGAUGGAUUUCUUCAUUGAUUCUCUCUCUUCUAACCCAUUUCUGUAUACAAUGAAAUGAUCAUCUGCAAUAAAUGGGUUUCUUUUGCUUUUCUUUGAGCCUUGUUUGGGAGAACAUGUAAAUUCACUCUUUCUGAUGGGGUUCUUCUCUGCCCUCCAAAUAUUGGAUUUCUGCCUUUGUAACUUAACUCUAAUUUUUUCCUUCAA